rnacentral:rRNA from 1 species
AGCUCAAUUUGAAAUCUGGCGUCCUCAGGGCGUCCGAGUUGUAAUCUAUAGAGGCGUUUUCCGUGCCGGACCGUGUCCAAGUUCCUUGGAACAGGAUAUCAAAGAGGGUGACAAUCCCGUACUUGACACGACGACCGGUGCUCUGUGAUACGUCUUCUACGAGUCGAGUUGUUUGGGAAUGCAGCUCAAAAUGGGUGGUGAGUUCCAUCUAAAGCUAAAUAUUGGCGAGAGACCGAUAGCGAACAAGUACCGUGAGGGAAAGAUGAAAAGCACUUUGGAAAGAGAGUUAAACAGUACGUGAAAUUGUUGAAAGGGAAACGAUUGAAGUCAGUCGUGACCGAGAGGCUCAGCCGGUUCUGCCGGUGUAUUCCCCUCGGUCGGGUCAACAUCAGUUUUGUCCGGUGGAUAAGGGCGGUAGGAAGGUGGCACCCUCGGGUGUGUUAUAGCCUGCCGUCGCAUACAUCGGGUGAGACUGAGGAACGCAGCUCGCCUUUAUGGCCGGGGUUCGCCCACGUCCGAGCUUAGGAUGUUGACAUAAUGGCUUUAAACGACCCGUCUU